rnacentral:lncRNA from 1 species
CUUGGGUAACUGAAGAAGUCUGGGAGACGGUGGUGGAGACAGAGCAAUAGGUGAAUCCACCGUGACCUGGGUCUUCCUGGAACAGGAGCAGCCACAAGGAAGCACCGUAGAUGGUGCUGACCCAAACCGAUGUGCUGGGCGUGGGUCCUAAGGAGAAACUCCUGGAUCGUUCUUUGAUCCAGCAAAGGAGCUGGUGAGGAACAAGGGAGCAGUGAGGCUACAGUGGGCUUCACCCAGCAGAUACUCGAGAGGUGCCUCCUACAGUUGGCAGAGAAUGAGACACGCGCAGCCAAGACAAGCUUCACUUGAACUCUAUCCAAGAUAAGAGGCUCCAGCCACCUGCUCACCGCUCAUGUCUGACACCACCGUCUGUUUAGAGCCAAACUCUCAGUGGGGCAUGGGGUUGGGACAGCUCUGUGUUUGUACCUGUCUGUCCAUGGUGACAAAGAAGGAAUUAAAGGCAGAAGGCAAGAUCUCGAACGAUAGUCACCACAGGAGGCAAACUUAUGCCAAGUCUCUGGACAGAAAGGAAUCUUGAUAUGGAUGGGAGACAAGAUUAGCUCAAGUCACCAGUCAGGAGGAGCCUGGGGUCCUCACGUCGGGCAGAUCUGUGCUGAAGGGCUGUGCUGGGAGUCCUGGAGUGCCACCCAGAUGAAUCACUUUCCCUACACAGGGAAGACUGAUCUUUCCCUCAGAAGCUGUGUUUUGGGAGGGUGCUGGGGAGAAAAA